AGCAGCAGCACGGGAAGCUUGCUUCCUGGUGGCGAGCGGCGGACGGGUGAGUAAUGCAUAGGAAUCUGCCCGGUAGUGGGGGAUAACCUGGGGAAACCCAGGCUAAUACCGCAUACGUCCUACGGGAGAAAGCAGGGGAUCUUCGGACCUUGCGCUAUCGGAUGAGCCUAUGCCGGAUUAGCUAGUUGGUGAGGUAAUGGCUCACCAAGGCGACGAUCCGUAGCUGGUCUGAGAGGAUGAUCAGCCACAUCGGGACUGAGACACGGCCCGAACUCCUACGGGAGGCAGCAGUGGGGAAUAUUGGACAAUGGGGGCAACCCUGAUCCAGCCCUGCCGCGUGUGUGAAGAAAGGCUUCGGGUUGUAAAGCACUUUCAGUGAGGAAGAAGGCCUUUGGCUUAAUACGCUGAAGGAAGGACAUCACUCACAGAAGAAGCACCGGCUAACUCCGUGCCAGCAGCCGCGGUAAUACGGAGGGUGCGAGCGUUAAUCGGAAUUACUGGGCGUAAAGCGCGCGUAGGUGGCUUGAUAAGCCGGUUGUGAAAGCCCUGGGCUCAACCUGGGAACGGCAUCCGGAACUGUCAGGCUAGAGUGCAGGAGAGGGGGGGUAGAAUUCCAGUGUAGCGGUGAAAUGCGUAGAGAUUUGGAGGAA
rnacentral:rRNA from 1 species